UUAACUAUAUGAGGGGAGGGCUGGGCUUCGGCCUGCCCCUCUCUGACUAUUCUACCCGUGUCUUUUGCGUACUAUUUGUUUCCUCGGUGGGCUUGCCCGCCGAUAGGACACUAUAAAAACCUUUUGUAAUUGCAGUCAGCGUCAGUAAAAACUUAAUAGUUACAACUUUCAACAACGGAUCUCUUGGUUCUGGCAUCGAUGAAGAACGCAGCGAAAUGCGAUAAGUAGUGUGAAUUGCAGAAUUCAGUGAAUCAUCRAAUCUUUGAACGCACAUUGCGCCCCUUGGUAUUCCAUGGGGCAUGCCUGUUCGAGCGUCAUUUGUACCCUCAAGCUUUGCUUGGUGUUGGGCGUCUUGUCCCGCGUUUGCGUGUGGACUCGCCUUAAAGCGAUUGGCAGCCGGCAUAUUGGCCUUGGAGCGCAGCACAAUUUGCGUUUCUAGUCAUGAAUGUUGGCGUCCAUUAAGCCUAUAACAUUUGCUCUUGACCUCGGAUCAGGUAGGGAUACCCGCUGAACU
rnacentral:rRNA from 1 species